UAAUACGGAGGGUGCAAGCGUUGUCCGGAUUCACUGGGCGUAAAGCGCGCGUAGGCGGCCCUGUAAGUCAUCUGUGAAAUCCCGGGGCUCAACUCCGGGGCUGCAGGUGAUACUGCAGAGCUAGAGCUCGGUAGAGGCAAGUGGAAUUCCCGGUGUAGCGGUGGAAUGCGUAGAUAUCGGGAAGAACACCAGUGGCGAAGGCGGCUUGCUGGGCCGAUGCUAACGCUGAGGCGCGAAAGCGUGGGGAGCAAACAGGAUUAGAUACCCUGGUAGUCCACGCCGUAAACGAUGGGUACUAGGCGUCGGGGGGAGCGACCCCUUCGGUGCCGUCGCUAACGCACUAAGUACCCCGCCUGGGGAGUACGGCCGCAAGGCUG
rnacentral:rRNA from 1 species